rnacentral:rRNA from 1 species
CCUACGGGUGGCAGCAGUGAGGAAUAUUGGUCAAUGGCCGGAAGUCUGAACCAGCCAAGUCGCGUGAGGGAAGACUGCCCUAUGGGUUGUAAACCUCUUUUAUAAGGGAAUAAUACGAGCUACGUGUAGCUUGAUGCAUGUACCUUAUGAAUAAGGAUCGGCUAACUCCGUGCCAGCAGCCGCAGGAAUACGGAGGAUUCGAGCGUUAUCCGGAUUUAUUGGGUUUAAAGGGAGCGUGGGGGGGUUUUUAAGUUAGUUGUGAAAGGUUCGGGCUCAACCGUGGAAUUGCAAUUGAUACUGGCAGACUUGAGUUCAGAUGAGGUAGGCGGAAUACGUGGUGUAGCGGUGAAAUGCUUAGAUAUAACGUAGAACCCCGAUUGCGAAGGCAGCUUACUAGACUGUGACUGACGCUGAAGCACGAGAGCGUGGGUAUCGAACAGGAUUAGAUACCCCAGUAGUC